AAGAACACCAACUUGCAUAAAAUUGUUCUACUGGUCCUUUGCCUUCUUUCAUCACACAAAAUAUUGUUGGUUGUAUUUUCAGCAGCUGCAAGGUUCCACAAAUUCUUAUGCCACAAUUCAAGACAACAGAUCAUUCUUCCAUUUUUUUGUGUGUGCAAUACAAAGUCUGGCAGCUGCUAGAAACUAAGUUAGCAGUGCCUUCAAAAAGAAUUGUUUUAGACUCUAAAAUUUAGAGUAUCCUCUCAUAUAUAGCCUCCAGGAAUUGUCCUUCAUCUUCAGGAAACUCCUGCAGCCAAUCCUGGAGAUUUGACAAGCUGCUGCUGCUGUCUCACCCUGUUGCCUGAACCUUUAAGGAAAGGCCACAGCCACAAGCGGGUGUUGCUUGCCCCAGCUGUGGACCAGGGCAGUGGCGGAGGAAGCCCAGGUUCCUUAAAGUGGUUGCAUGGGAAUCGAGAAGUCUGGAGCAGGAAGGUGCAGGAGAUGCAAAGCGGGCAAGGCUUAGUCAGUAAAGAGCGGGAAAAACCAUGGCAACCAGUCCUGGGUCAAUGUUGCAAAAUGGAACUAGGAGACUAGAAUGUGGGUUGAGACUCUCUUAAGAGCAAUGGGAAGAGGGAGCUGGGCUUUGUUUUAUGGCUCGGGGAUGGAUUCAUUCACUCCCCCAAUAAAUCUAUUUUCCUAGUAGCUUCCCUUACAAACAAAGGGGAAUCCUCUAAGCUGCCGGAAAGAAGUUUUGCCUGAAAUCUUAGAAAUCAUCUGCCAGUCGGUGGAGACAGUACUGAACUAGAUGGAGCAAUGGUCUUUGUUUUGGUAUAAGAUGUCGCCACCUGAUUUGCUGACCCCCCCACCUUGUACCAUAUCCAAGGCAUUUGUGGAUCCCUUGGUGUAACUCUCAGACUUUGGAAGGUUGGCAUCACUGAAUCACGUCAGGUACCCGCUAGAAACAGGUGGUUGGCUCGGGUACAAAUGUAGAAAGAAGGAAGCCAACACAGGAAAUGCAGCCUGCAGGUCACACUGAUGAUCCUUGCUCAGCCUUGACGUCGUGGAGAGGAUAUUGCCAUAGUUUCUUCCUGAACACGCUCGUUUUUAAUGGAGAUGUUAGGGAGCGCGGGAGGUAUUGGGAAUAUCGUCUGAGUCAUUGCCCAAGAAGUCAAGGUCCCUCUUUCUUAAAAGCUGGCCUGAUUGCAGUGAAGAUAUUGUGAGGGAAAGAGCUGGCUAUGCCGAGGUACAGAAGUGCGGUGCUGUCCAAUCCUAACCAGUAGAUGACCAGGAGCUCCAGGAGCUGGAGUUUGGGAGAAGAGAGGAAUUAGCUCUCCUGUGUGAACUAACACAAGGGGCAGCUGCUGUUGCUGUUCGGAGGAUCUGCAGUCCCAGGAGGUGUGACUUUAUCAUGUAUAUGGCUAUCUGCCUGCUUUACUGUAAGCUUAAUAAAUUGGAAU